GGGCCCGCACAAGCGGUGGAGUAUGUGGUUUAAUUCGAUGCAACGCGAAGAACCUUACCAGGGUUUGACAUCCUGCGAAUUUCUGGGAAACCGGAAAGUGCCUUCGGGAGCGCAGUGACAGGUGGUGCAUGGCUGUCGUCAGCUCGUGUCGUGAGAUGUUGGUUAAGUCCCGCAACGAGCGCAACCCACGUCUUUAGUUGCCAGCAUUUAGUUGGGCACUCUAGAGAGACCGCCGGUGAUAAACCGGAGGAAGGUGUGGAUGACGUCAAGUCAUCAUGCCCCUUACAUCCUGGGCUACACACGUGCUACAAUGGUAGGUACAGAGAGCAGCCAAUGCGCGAGCAUGAG
rnacentral:rRNA from 1 species